AAGACUAUAGACCUGCGGAGUACCUGCGGAAGGAUCAUUACUGAGUGUAACCCUUUUUUUUUAGAGGGUACCUCCCGUCCUUUGCAGGCCCUUAGGGGCUUUUUGACUUUGCUUCGGCGGGGUUCCCCCGCCGGAACACCCUCAAGAAAAUCUUAAUUAAAACCGUUCAGUCCGAGGGCUUUUGCGAAUAAAUUAAAACUUUUAACAACGGAUCUCU
rnacentral:misc_RNA from 1 species